AUUGAACGCUGGCGGCAUGCCUUACACAUGCAAGUCGAACGGCAGCGGGCCCUUCGGGGUGCCGGCGAGUGGCGAACGGGUGAGUAAUGCAUCGGAACGUACCCGGGAGAGGGGGAUAACCGGCCGAAAGGCUGGCUAAUACCGCAUGAACUCGGAAGAGCAAAGCGGGGGACCUUCGGGCCUCGCGCUCUCGGAGCGGCCGAUGUCCGAUUAGGCUAGUUGGUGGGGUAAAGGCCCACCAAGGCGACGAUCGGUAGCGGGUCUGAGAGGACGAUCCGCCACACUGGGACUGAGACACGGCCCAGACUCCUACGGGAGGCAGCAGUGGGGAAUCUUGGACAAUGGGCGAAAGCCUGAUCCAGCAAUGCCGCGUGGGUGAAGAAGGCCUUCGGGUUGUAAAGCCCUUUCGGCGGGGAAGAAAUCGGUCAGGCGAAUAGUCUGGCCGGAUGACGGUACCCGCAGAAGAAGCACCGGCUAACUACGUG
rnacentral:rRNA from 1 species